CCGGCGGAAGAAAAUGGAUGGAUGGAUGGAUGGAGUUAACCUUGCUGUGGCAAAAGAAGGACACAGAAGUUGUAGUAGCAGUUGUUCCGUCACAAAUUAAAGGUCGGAGCAUUGUGAUUCAUCAUUCUUAUUUGUGCACUCUCUUCGUCCACAUCAGUGGUUAACAGGGGAGAUCAUUGAAAGCCUUCUGCAUGUGGCUGCCCAUGCAUUGGGAGUCAUGGACACCUUCUACAUCCUGAAUCACUACUCAGCUGGUGUGAUUUUGUUUGGGGAGAGAACAGAGCUUCCUCGCCAAAGUUUACCUAAGGUAAUGGACAUAGUUGUUGCUAUAUUAUGUCAUUAUAAGAUAAAUGAACAGAACUUUCACAGUUACACAGAGCUACAAAACUGACAACAAAGUUACUUCUAAUAUCAUAUGUAAUGUGUUUUUGGCAAAUCUGUGUGCUUGUUGAUAAAAAGAAGACCAAGAUUUAGAUUUUUGAAAAGGUCUGAAUGAACAGCUGAGUUGGUUUUAAAAGAGUCUUCUGAAAGAACGGCCAUGUUGUACAGAACACUUGGCUGUUUUAAACAUUGAAACACUUGACAAAAGUAAUGUAAUUGUUCACUUCCGUGCAAGUUCCAAAUAUAAGUGUCACAGAUGGUUAUCGAGGCAAAUGAGGAGCUGAACAUGGCAGUAAAGCUGGACAACGUCUUUAGACAACAUUACAUAAUUAAUUCCACAUGUAAAAAUACUUCUGUACUGGACACUACAUAUUGGAUUUCAGAGUAAUGAAAAUGUCAACCAUUUAAUAAAAUAGAAGUAAGAAUCCUGAUCAAGUUGCACCCACAUUAAUCUAGGCUAAGUAAUUUUAUUUGAUUCCUUGUAUGUGUCCUACUAACUAACAUCAAUA